GACGAACGCUGGCGGCGUGCUUAACACAUGCAAGUCGAACGGAAAGGCCCUGCUUUUGUGGGGUGCUCGAGUGGCGAAAGGGUGAGUAACACGUGAGUAACCUGCCCUUGACUUUGGGAUAACUUCAGGAAACUGGGGCUAAUACCGGAUAGGAGCUCCUGCUGCAUGGUGGGGGUUGGAAAGUUUCGGCGGUUGGGGAUGGACUCGCGGGUUAUCAGCUUGUUGGUGGGGUAGUGGCUUACCAAGGCUUUGACGGGUAGCCGGCCUGAGAGGGUGACCAGGCACAUUGGGCCUGCGAUACGGCCCAGAAUCCUACGGGACGCAGCAGUGGGGAAUAUUGCGCAAUGGGCGGAAGCCUGAUACAGCGACCCCGCGUGCGGGAUGACGGCCUGCGGGUGGUAAACCGCUUUCGCCUGUGACGAAGCGUGAGUGACGGUAAUGGGUAAAGAAGCACCGGCUAACUACGUG
rnacentral:rRNA from 1 species